CUGUGGGGACAAGGACGUCUGUCAUCCUCUGCUCCUGCUCACAGUGACACUGAUCUAGUAACACCCCCGUCCUGGCCUGACCCUGCCAUGGGCACCAGGCUCCUCUGCUGGGUGGUCCUGGGUUUCCUAGGGAUAGGAAACAGGUAGAUUUGGACGUCGGCUGUCCUUUGGGUAGAAAGAGACCACAGAUUCAUUUCUGAGACACAGUGACUACAAAUGUAGAUGGUAAAAACAAUCACGGCCCACUGCACUCUAGGAGUCCUCGGAACCAGCUCACUUCUUCAAGCAAGGAGUGGGUGUCUCAGCCUAGGCCUUCAGGGCAGACAUGCGUCUUCUAUACGUCUUGGAGGCUGCGGUGCUGCCCAUAUACAUGAGGUUGUCAAGGGAGGGAAACAUGCCUCUUCUCCUGCAUUUAUUGGGGCAUCUGGAAGGUCUGAGGCUACAUACCCAGGAACAUCUUUCUUUUGAAGCUCUUCUAUCCCUGUCACCAUGGAAGUUUUCUGCAACAAAAUAUUGAACCUCUCUUCCUAUUUGAAGUAAAGAUCUUUGCAACUUUUAUGGUCCUUACUUGAUAAAUACAA